CAGCAACGCCGCGUGUGUGAUGAAGGUCUUCGGAUUGUAAAGCACUUUCGACCGGGACCGAACACCCCCUUGGCUAACAUCCAAGGGCCUGACGGUACGGGAGAAGAAGCACCGGCUAACUCUGUGCCAGCAGCCGCGGUAAUACAGAGGGUGCAAGCGUUGUUCGGAAUUAUUGGGCGUAAAGCGCGUGUAGGCGGCUUUGCAAGUCGGGUGUGAAAUCCCUCAGCUUAACUGAGGAAGUGCGCCCGAAACUGCAGAGCUUGAGUGCCGAAGAGGGCGGUGGAAUUCCCCAAGUAGAGGUGAAAUUCGUAGAUAUGGGGAGGAACACCGGUGGCGAAGGCGGCCGCCUGGUCGGUAACUGACGCUGAGACGCGAAAGCAUGGGGAGCAAACAGGAUUAGAUACCCUGGUAGUCCAUGCCGUAAACGAUGAGAACUAGGUGUCGUGGGUGUUGACCCCCGCGGUGCCGUAGCUAACGCAUUAAGUUCUCCGCCUGGGAAGUACGGCCGCAAGGCUA
rnacentral:rRNA from 1 species